rnacentral:rRNA from 1 species
AGCGAACGCUGGCGGCAGGCUUAACACAUGCAAGUCGAGCGCCCCGCAAGGGGAGCGGCAGACGGGUGAGUAACACGUGGGAACGUACCCUUUGCUUCGGAACAACCCAGGGAAACUUGGGCUAAUACCGGAUACGUCCGUAAGGAGAAAGAUUUAUCGCCAAAGGAUCGGCCCGGGUCUGAUUAGCUAGUUGGUGAGGUAAUGGCUCACCAAGGCUACGAUCAGUAGCUGGUCUGAGAGGAUGAUCAGCCACAUUGGGACUGAGACACGGCCCAAACUCCUACGGGAGGCAGCAGUGGGGAAUAUUGGACAAUGGGGGCAACCCUGAUCCAGCCAUGCCGCGUGAGUGAUGAAGGCCCUAGGGUUGUAAAGCUCUUUUAGCAGGGAAGAUAAUGACGGUACCUGCAGAAAAAGCCCCGGCUAACUUCGUGCCAGCCGCCGCGGUAA